rnacentral:rRNA from 1 species
AGUGAACGCUGGCGGUAGGCCUAACACAUGCAAGUCGAACGGCAGCACAGUAAGAGCUUGCUCUUACGGGUGGCGAGUGGCGGACGGGUGAGGAAUACAUCGGAAUCUACUUUUUCGUGGGGGAUAACGUAGGGAAACUUACGCUAAUACCGCAUACGACCUACGGGUGAAAGCAGGGGAUCUUCGGACCUUGCGCGAUUGAAUGAGCCGAUGUCGGAUUAGCUAGUUGGCGGGGUAAAGGCCCACCAAGGCGACGAUCCGUAGCUGGUCUGAGAGGAUGAUCAGACACAUCGGAACUGAGACACGGGCCAGACAACUACGGGAGGCAGCAGUGGGGAAUAUUGGACAAUGGGCGCAAGCCUGAUCCAGCCAUACCGCGUGGGUGAAGAAGACCUUCGGGUUGUAGAGCACUUUUGUUGGGAAAGAAGAGCAGCAGGUUAAUACCCCGCUGUUCUGACGGUACCCAAAGAAUAAGCACCGGCUAACUUCGUG